GUAGGUGGCAAGCGUUGUCCGGAAUUAUUGGGCGUAAAGCGCGCGCAGGUGGGUUCUUUAAGUCUGAUGUGAAAGCCCCCGGGCUCAACCGGGGAGGGUCAUUGGAAACUGGGGAACUUGAGUGCAGGAGAGGAAAGUGGAAUUCCACGUGUAGCGGUGAAAUGCGUAGAUAUGUGGAGGGACACCAGUGGCGAAGGCGACUUUCUGGCCUGUAACUGACACUGAGGCGCGAAAGCGUGGGGAGCAAACAGGAUUAGAUACCCUGGUAGUCCACGCCGUAAACGAUGAGUGCUAAGUGUUGGGGGGUUUCCGCCCCUCAGUGCUGCAGCUAACGCAUUAAGCACUCCGCCUGGGGAGUACGGCCGCAAGACUG
rnacentral:rRNA from 1 species